rnacentral:rRNA from 1 species
UACGUAGGGGGCAAGCGUUGUCCGGAUUUAUUGGGCGUAAAGGGCGCGUAGGCGGCGGGGUAAGUCUGGUGUGAAAUCUAGGAGCUCAACUCCUAAACUGCACUGGAUACUGCUCUGCUAGAGGACUGGAGAGGAGACUGGAAUUCACGGUGUAGCAGUGAAAUGCGUAGAUAUCGUGAGGAAGACCAGUGGCGAAGGCGGGUCUCUGGACAGUUCCUGACGCUGAGGCGCGAAGGCCAGGGGAGCAAACGGG